rnacentral:lncRNA from 1 species
GUGCGGGGAAUCAAAUGGGCCGGCCCAGUUUCGGCAAAAAUGACGAUUUAAUGUUUUUUCUUUAAUUCCAGUGCAUUUAACCCAUAAGAUGUUCAAUUAAAUAUGUUUUUGCACUGUUAAUUAAUGAAAAUUGGCCGAAAAUUAUUCUUGCUGACUGUAAUUGGACACUUAAUUAUUCUGAAUGAGGUUGAUCCAACGAGAUACUUUACUU